UCUGCUCUGCUAGAUCAGAUGCGCCCAGAGGCUACCUUCAGUUUUGGGGGCCACACAUGGAGAGAGUCGCAAGCAACCUUAACUGCUGAGUGGAGUCACAGAGCAUAAUGGCAAUGGGACUCUCCUUUCUGCUUUAUUUUUUUUCUUUCUUUCUUAUCUCUGGUACCCCACGUCUUCUGUCUCCAACUCCACACAGCUGUUACACCGUUGAGCUCUUGCCCUGUGCCUUGCGAGUUCUCUGCUGUGGUCUGUGGCUCAAUUUGGCCUCCGUUCACCCUGGCCAGGAGAAUCCACACGUUCAGCGAACUACAGCAUCAGAAAAGGAAAUGUCUUUCCAGAAACCUGGCUUCAUACCCACAGCGAGAGCUGCAUGAAGAGAGGCCCUCUCCAGAAAUGUGCCACGCAGCGGUUGAAAGAGGAAGGGGGGGGGGGGGGUGUUUUUAUGGAAACCUCAGUCGCCUUUCCUUCUCUUCGGUGAAUUGCUUCUGUGUUCAGGCAGCCGACUUAGACAGCUGUGAGGAGAGGCAUGUGGGCGUGAUGGGGGCCUCGGGAAGAAAAGGCCUCUUGUACCCUUGCCAGGAUCUGUAGGUGGUGUGACCUGGGAAGACUGAAGAGCCCAGAGCUUCUCAGCAGUGGUGAUGAAGCCCGGAUCCCAGUGGCAAUGUUCUUGUGAGCCACAGGGGGCGCCCGAGUACCGGGAGCCAGCAAGUGCCAGCCUAGUCCCGAGAGAACUGGGGCUGCUCUUCCAGGAGGUGAAUGGAGACCAGAAAAGAUGCGGAGGGAUUUAAAAGCUGAGAGACAUUUGUCCUCGUCCUCUGCUUGACAAACACAAAAACCCAUCCUUUGAAGCCAGCGCAAAAGCCUUCUCUUAAGGGAAGACUUCUCAAAGUCUAGGGAAAGCCAUUUAUCCCUUUCUUUUUAUUAUCCGCCCAAUUGCCGUCAUAACGCAGUAUCUACAGAUGGCUCCGAGUUCCUGCAGAGCAAGACAGGACCCGGCUCCUCCACGUGCCAGGUUGGAAUCUGGACUCUCCUUGGUGCAGGUUCUGUCUGGUAGUUGGACAAAGGCUGACAUAAUGGAAGUGAACAAAUAUUGGAUGAAUGAAUAAAUGCAUGACAGAGCAAACAAAUGAACAUGCAUAUUUCAACACCCGGAAAGCAGAGGGCUGCAUCAGAUAAUUUCAAAAUCUGAUUCCUCAAUUGUUUCUACUAUACCCUAGGACUCUGGUAAUCCACAAAUAAAGAGAUUCCUGUGGACAUGG